GUGUCAGCCGCCGCGGUAACACCGGCGCCCCGAGUGGCAAUCGCGAUUAUUGGGCCUAAAGCGUCCGUAGCCGGACAGGUAAAUCCUCUGUGAAAUCGUUGCGCUUAACGUAACGGCGCGCAGGGGACACUGCUUGUCUCGAGACCGGGAGGAGUCAGAGGUAUGCCGUGGGGACUGGUAAAAUGGUAUAAUCCACGGUAGACCACCAAUGGCGAAGGCAUCUGACCAGAACGGAUCUGACGGUGAGGGACGAAAGCUAGGGGAGCGAACCGGAUUAGAAACCCCUGUAGUCC
rnacentral:rRNA from 1 species